rnacentral:rRNA from 1 species
GACGAACCGUGCGAACGUUAUUCGGAAUCACUGGGCUUAAAGCGUGUGUAGGCGGACUUGUAAGUACCUUGUGAAAUCCCACGGCUCAACCGUGGAACUGCUUGGUAUACUGCUUGUCUUGAGCCACUUAGGGGCUACCGGAACAAAUGGUGGAGCGGUGAAAUGCGUAGAUAUCGGGAGGAACACCUAUGGCGAAGGCAGCUCGCUGGGACGCUACUGACGCUGAGACGCGAAAGCGUGGGGAGCAAACAGG